rnacentral:rRNA from 1 species
UACGUAGGUGGCAAGCGUUGUCCGGAUUUAUUGGGCGUAAAGAGCGUGUAGGCGGCCAAGCAGGUCCGCUGUGAAACUCGAGGCUCAACCUCGAGACGUCGGUGGAACCGUUUGGCUAGAGUCCGGAAGAGGAGAGUGGAAGUUCCCGGUGUAGCGGUGAAAUGCGCAGAUAUCGGGAAGAACACCCGUGGCGAAGGCGGCUCUCUGGGACGGUACUGACGCUGAGACGCGAAAGCGUGGGGAGCGAACGAGG